rnacentral:rRNA from 1 species
AGAAUCAACGCUGGCGGCGUGCCUAACACAUGCAAGUCGAACGCGAAAGGGGAGCAAUCCCUGAGUAGAGUGGCAAACGGGUGAGUAACACGUGGGUGACCUGCCUUCGAGUGGGGGAUAACGUUCCGAAAGGAACGCUAAUACCGCAUGACACCCUGCUUUUGGAGAAGCGGAGAUCAAAGCUGGGGAUUCGCAAGAACCUAGCGCUUGAAGAGGGGCCCGCGCCUGAUUAGCUAGUUGGUGGGUAACGGCUCACCAAGGCUACGAUCA